rnacentral:sRNA from 1 species
UAGACAAACUUUUAUCAUCACAGAUGCGC